rnacentral:rRNA from 1 species
GUAGGUGGCAAGCGUUGUCCGGAAUUAUUGGGCGUAGAGCGCGCGCAGGCGGUUCUUUAAGUCUGAUGUGAAAGCCCACGGCUCAACCGUGGAGGGUCAUUGGAAACUGGAGAACUUGAGUACAGAAGAGGAAAGCGGAAUUCCACGUGUAGCGGUGAAAUGCGUAGAGAUGUGGAGGAACACCAGUGGCGAAGGCGGCUUUCUGGUCUGUAACUGACGCUGAGGCGCGAAAGCGUGGGGGGAGCAAACAGGAUUAGAUACCCUGGUAGUCCACGCCGUAAACGAUGAGUGCUAAGUGUUAGGGGGUUUCCGCCCCCCCCUUAGUGCUGCAGCUAACGCAUUAAGCACUCCGCCUGGGGAUACGGCCGCAAGGCUG